rnacentral:rRNA from 1 species
AGUGAACGCUGGCGGUAGGCCUAACACAUGCAAGUCGAACGGCAGCACAGUAAGAGCUUGCUCUUACGGGUGGCGAGUGGCGGACGGGUGAGGAAUACAUCGGAAUCUACUUUUUCGUGGGGGAUAACGUAGGGAAACUUACGCUAAUACCGCAUACGACCUACGGGUGAAAGCAGGGGAUCUUCGGACCUUGCGCGAUUGAAUGAGCCGAUGUCGGAUUAGCUAGUUGGCGGGGUAAAGGCUCACCAAGGCGACGAUCCGUAGCUGGUCCGCGGGGAUGAUCAGCCACACUGGAACUGAGACACGUUCCAGACUCCUACGGGAGGCAGCAGUGGGGAAUAUUGGACAAUGGGCGGAAGCCUGAUCCAGCCAUACCGCGUGGGUGAAGAAGGCCUUCGGGUUGUAAAGCCCUUUUGUUGGGAAAGAAAAGCAGCAGAUUAAUACCCCGCUGUUCUGACGGUACCCAAAGAAUAAGCACCGGCUAACUUCGUG